rnacentral:rRNA from 1 species
AAUAUUAUCUUACUUUAUUUAUUUUUUGUUUAUUUUAGAAGUAUCUAUUUUUUUAGUAUUUUAUAGAACAAAUUAAUUCUGUUAUAGAGUAUUAGUACUGUGGAGGAAAGAUGAAAUAGUAAUUUUUAUUUUUGGGAAGUAUAUUUUAAUUAUAGUACCUUUUGUAUCAGGGUUAAUUAAAUAUUUUUAAUUUAUUUUUAUUUCUCGAUUUCAAAAAAGCUAGGUUAAUAHUUUAGNUUAAGGGGUCAUNAUAAUUAUUAAUAAUAUAUUCUAGGUAAGAAAUUUUAUUCGGUUUUGAAGGUAUCUAGUUUUUUAAGAAUUAAAUUUAAUUUAUUUUUUUAAAUUAACUUUUGUAAUCUGUCAUAAGUUAUUUUGAAAAUAAAAAAUUAUAGGGGAUAAGCUCUAUAUUUUUCUAUAAAUAUUUUUUUAAUAAAAUUUUUGUAGGGUUAGAAUUAUCCAUCAAUUGAAAUUGUGUCAUAAUUUAUUUUUUUUAUUAAUUAAUUUUUUUUUUAUUUUUAGUAUUUUAUUAAAAUUUUAUAAUAAUCUUUGAAUUAUAGGUAAUAAUGAUUAAAUUAGUAUAAAUAUUUGUUUUUAAUUUUUUAUCAGUUAUGAUAGGGUAAGGAACUCGGCAAUAGUAAUUCUCGCCUGUUUAACAAAAACAUGUCCUUUUGAAUUUAAUAUAAGGUCUGGCCUGCCCGGUGAUAUUUUAACGGCCGCGGUAAAUUGACCGUGCAAAGGUAGCAUAAUCAUUAGUCUUUUAAUAGAAGGCUGGAAUGAAAGGUUUAACGAGGAAUUAACUGUCUCAUCUUAUUUGUUUUAAAAUUUAAUUUUUUAGUCAAAAAGCUAAAAUUUUAUUGGUAGACGAGAAGACCCUAUAGAUCUUCAUAAGAUUUUAUAUAUUUAUUAAUAUAUUACUGUAAUUAUAUGAUAUCUUAUUUUGUUGGGGUGAUAAAAAUAUAUAACUAACUUUUUUAUUUUUCGAACAUUAAUUUAUGAUUAAUAGAUCCGUAAUUUACGAUUAUUAGAACAAGUUACCUUAGGGAUAACAGCGUAAUCCUCCUCCAGAGUUCUUAUUUACAGGAUGGGCUUGCGACCUCGAUGUUGGAUUAAGAUAAUAAUUAGGUGUAGCCGCUUAAUAUAUAGGUCAGUUCGAC